rnacentral:ncRNA from 1 species
UUAAAAGCGUUGAACAGGAAGAGUACAUUGACCCCCGCUUUCAGAGAGGAAAAUCGUUUGCUGAGAGAUUUUCCAAGCGAAGACGAUGGAAGGUCGCCUGCAGAGCUGUUUCCAUGAAAACAGUAGUGGAAACCGGUUAAAAGCCGUUAUCGUUCAUUGAGAGUUCAGGAGACAGUAUGACUUCUGAGAAAAAAGGUGGUACCGCGAAACGAAUCCUUCGUCCUUUUA